AAGGCGGCGGGGAUUCAAGGCCAACAGUUGUAUAAGGGUUUGGCCGGGUUUAGAAGGGUAUGGUUGCUAAUAAUUAGUUGGCCAUGUAACGGCUCACCAAGGCGGUGAUAGGUAUGGGGUGUGAGAGGAUGAUUCGUCACAUUGGGACUGAGACACGGCCCAGAGUUCUUCGGGAUGCAGCAGUGAUGAAUCUUGCGCAAUGGGUGAAAGCCUGACGCAGCCAGGUGGGUUGCCGGAAGACGGCCUUAUCGGUUGUAAACGGCUUUUGCAAUGGGAAGAACGUCCUCGGGGUUUGUCUCUGUGGCGACGGGGCCAAUUGUAUUAUCACCGGCUAAAUCCGUGAUAGCAGCCGCGGUAAUACGGAGGGUGCAAGCGUUGUCCGGAAUCAUUGGGUGUAAAGGGUGGGUAGGCGGGAGCCUAAGUGUGUGGAGGAAUCUUGGCGGUAAACGGUAAAAUGGCCAUGGAUUGGGGGUUUUUAUAGUACAGAAGAGGGCGGUGGAAUUAGUAGUGUAGCGGUGAAAUGCAUAUAUAUUACGAAGAACACCAGUUGCGAAGGCGGCCGGCUGGGAUGUAACAGACGCUGAAGCACGAAAGCGUGGGGAGCGAACAGGAUUAGAUACCCGGGAAGUC
rnacentral:rRNA from 1 species